rnacentral:tRNA from 1 species
UAGCUCAACUGGAUAGAGUAUUUGGCUUCGGACCAAAGGGUUGCAGGUUCAAAUCCUGC